UGUGGUUGAUCUUGCCAGUUGUCAAAUGCUUGUCUCAAAGAUUAAGCCAUGCUUGUGUACGUAUGAACUAUUUUAGAUUGUGAAACUACGAAUGGCUCAUUAAAUCAAUUAUAGUUUGGUUGAUGGUAUAUACUAUUUAGAUAACAAUUCUAGAGCUGAUAUGUGCAACAAAACCCGACUUUUGGAAAGGAUGUAUUUGCAAGAUAAAAGGUCGAUAAGGGCUUUGCGUAUUACUCUAAUGAUUCAUGAUAAUUCGAUAGAUUGCAUGGCCUUUGUCCUGAUGAUGUAUCAUUCAAAUUUCUACCCUAUCAAUUUUUAAUGGUAGGAAAGUGGCCUACUAUGGUGUGACAAGUGAUGGAGAUUGCAAAAAGAGAGCCUGAGAAAUGGCUAACACAUCCAAAGAAGGUAGCAGGCAUGCCAAUUACCCAAUCCUGACAUGAAGCGGUAGUGACAAUAAAUAACAACACUAGGCUCUAUGAGUCUAGUAAUUGGAAUGAGUACAAUCUAAAUCUUUUAACGAGGAUUCAUUGGAGGGUAAGUUUGGUGCUAGGAACCGUGGUAAUUCCGGCACCAAUAAUGUAAUUUUAGUUGUUGUAGUUAAAAAGCUCAUAGUUGGAACUAGGGUUAGGUCGUCUGGUUUACCUUACAAAGAGCAUUGGUUUACUCAUCCCUAUUAUCGAUGAUGCACUUCUAGCCUUACCUAGCUAGGUCAUUCCUUCGAUACUAUUACUUUGAAGAAAUUAGAGUGCUAAAAGCAAGCCUAUGCUUGUAUACAUUAGCAUGGGAUAGCAUCAUAGGAUUUUACUCCUAUUAUGUUAACCUUUGAGAUUAAAGUAAUGAUUAAUAAAGAUAGCCGAGGGCAUUUUUAUUUCAUAGUUAGAGGUGAAAUUUUUGGAUUUAUGGAAGACAAACAACUAUGAAAGCAUUUGCCAAGGAUGUUUUCAUUAAUCAAGAAUGAACAUUGGGGGCUUUAAGACAAUCAGAUACCAUCCUAGUCUCAACCAUGAAUAAUGCCAACUAAGGAUUAACGGAUGUUAUUUUUAAGAUUCUACCGGCACCUUAUGAGAAAUCAAAGUCUUUGGGUUCCAAAAAGACUAUGGUUGUAAGGCUGAAACUUAAAGGAAUUGACAAAAGAGCACCACUGGGAGUGAAGCCUAUGGCUUAAUUUGACUCAACACAAGGAAACUUACCAAGUCCAGACAUAGUAAAGAUUGAUAAAUUGAGAGCUCUUUCUUGAUUCUAUGGGUGGUAGCGCAUGGCCGUUCUUAGUUAGUGGAGUGAUUUGUCUAGUUAAUUCUGUUAAUGAAUGAGGCCUCAGCCUACUAACUAGCUAUACAGAGGUGAUCCUUUGUGGCUAGCUUCUUAAAGGGACUAUGGUCACUUAGGCCAAGGAAGUUUGAGGUAAUAACAGGUCUGUGAUGCCCUUAGACCGCACACGUGCUACAUUGAUGUAUUCAAUGAGUCUAUAACCUUGGCCAAUAAGCCUAGGUAAUCUUUGAAAUUUCAUCAUGAUAGGGAUAGAUCAUUACAAUUAUUAGUCUUUAAUGAGGAAUUCCUAGUAAGCACAAGUCAUCAACUAGUGUUGAUGAUAACCCUACCCUUUGUACACACUAUGCAUUGCUCCUAUCAAUUGAAUGGUCCAGUGAAGUGUUUGGAUCAUGACAAUGUGGAUGGUUCACUACCUGUCAUGUUGUAAGAAACCUUAUCAUUUACAGGAAGGAGAAGUCGUAACAAGGUUUUCAUAGGUGAACCUGUGGAAG
rnacentral:rRNA from 1 species